GGCGAUUAUAGCAAUAAGGUUCCACCUCUACCCAUUCCGAACAGAGAAGUUAAACUUAUUAGCGCCGAUGGUACUAGUUGUUCUGGAAGAGUAGGUCAUUGCCCA
rnacentral:rRNA from 1 species